CUAAGGAUGAGAGUUGGGAGGGAGACACUGUGGCCCACAAGUGCCCAGGCCCAGGAAGCUUCCUCCACUCCACCAUCAGCCUUUGCCAGGCCUACAGACACCAGACCUGUUUUUCCAAGGGCUUUGAAAGAGUCAGAAAACAAAAGAGCAAGACGAGAUACAAGAAUGAAGUACAGGGUCAUGAAUAUGAUGAAGAAAUGGUGGUCUCAUUUAAAAAAAAAAACUGCCCUUAUUAACUCAGCAGUAUACUCUGAAGAUUAGGUGCCUCUUCUCUUAAUUACACCCAGAGAGCGCAGAAAAGUGGACGCCAGCGAUAUUUAUUUUCUGCUCUGAGCCAGGCACAGGUAACCCACCAGGGGCGUCUUUCUUAAUGAGGGAAGAAAAAUGUCAGAACAGCGAUCGGCCACGGUGCACCCGAUGGACUUAGAAAAUCAGCAAAAAUAACAUGAGAAGUGGUUUUGCUUGAA